rnacentral:rRNA from 1 species
UACGUAGGUGGCAAGCGUUGUCCGGAAUUAUUGGGCGUAAAGCGCGCGCAGGCGGUCCUUUAAGUCUGAUGUGAAAGCCCACGGCUCAACCGUGGAGGGUCAUUGGAAACUGGGGGACUUGAGUGCAGAAGAGGAAAGCGGAAUUCCACGUGUAGCGGUGAAAUGCGUAGAGAUGUGGAGGAACACCAGUGGCGAAGGCGGCUUUCUGGUCUGUAACUGACGCUGAGGCGCGAAAGCGUGGGAGCAUACAGG